UUGUUCCGGGCAGCAGUAGGGCUGAUUGGAGCCAUUGUAUAGUGUCAGGAACAUACCAGGACACAGAGAAUAGUGUCCUGUCAUAAGGAUUCAGAGCAGGUGGACCCUGCUGUGAUGCACAAAGAGGACCGUGCAAGAUACGAUAAAGAUCUAUAUCACUGCAAUUUGGUUCUAUAUUUGUAUCUCAGCUUCCUGGAAAUAAAAGAGAAUUCUAACAUUCAUACUUUGAGUAUUUUAUGUGAGAGGUUUUGUUGUCAAAAUCAAGUCUGAGAGCAGUGUUUAUUCGGGCCUUUAAUUGAGUUACCAAGUGAUAAAGGGGACAUUGUCUUCAACAGUAACCCUACAAUAAACAUGUUUUGUGCAAUAAA